UACAGCCAUAUCACAUUGAAGCACCAGUUCCCAUAUGAUCACCAAAGUUAAGCAACAUCAAACCUUAUCAGUACCUAGAUGAGUGACCACUUGGGCAUAACAGGUACUGUAAG